UGGGGAAUUUUGGACAAUGGGCGAAAGCCUGAUCCAGCAAUGCCGCGUGUGUGAAGAAGGCCUUCGGGUUGUAAAGCACUUUUGUCCGGAAAGAAAUCCUUGGCUCUAAUACAGUCGGGGGAUGACGGUACCGGAAGAAUAAGCACCGGCUAACUACGUGCCAGCAGCCGCGGUAAUACGUAGGGUGCAAGCGUUAAUCGGAAUUACUGGGCGUAAAGCGUGCGCAGGCGGUUUGCUAAGACCGAUGUGAAAUCCCCGGGCUCAACCUGGGAACUGCAUUGGUGACUGGCAGGCUAGAGUAUGGCAGAGGGGGGCAGAAUUCCACGUGUAGCAGUGAAAUGCGUAGAGAUGUGGAGGAAUACCGAUGGCGAAGGCAGCCCCCUGGGCCAAUACUGACGCUCAUGCACGAAAGCGUGGGGAGCAAAACAGGAUUAGAUACCCUGGUAGUCCACGCCCUAAAACGAUGUCAACUAGUUGUUGGGGAUUCAUUUCCUUAGUAACGUAGCUAACGCGUGAAGUUGACCGCCUAGGGAGUACGGUCGCAAGAUUAAAACUCAAAUGAAUUGACGGGGUCAUAGCUGUUUCCU
rnacentral:rRNA from 1 species